AGCGAACGCUGGCGGCAGGCCUAACACAUGCAAGUCGAACGCAUCGCAAGAUGAGUGGCAGACGGGUGAGUAACGCGUGGGAACAUACCCUUUUCUACGGAAUAGCUCUGGGAAACUGGAAUUAAUACCGUAUACGCCCUACGGGGGAAAGAUUUGUCGGGGAAGGAUUGGCCCGCGUUGGAUUAGCUAGUUGGUGGGGUAAAGGCCUACCAAGGCGACGAUCCAUAGCUGGUCUGAGAGGAUGAUCAGCCACAUUGGGACUGAGACACGGCCCAAACUCCUACGGGAGGCAGCAGUGGGGAAUAUUGGACAAUGGGCGCAAGCCUGAUCCAGCCAUGCCGCGUGAGUGAUGAAGGCCUUAGGGUUGUAAAGCUCUUUCACCGAUGAAGAUAAUGACGGUAGUCGGAGAAGAAGCCCCGGCUAACUUCGUGCCAGCCGCCGCUGUAAAAC
rnacentral:rRNA from 1 species